AUUCCGGUUGAUCCUGCCGGAGGCCAUUGCUAGUGGAGUCCGAUUUAGCCAUGCUAGUCGUGCGAGUUCAGACUCGUGGCACCGAGCUCAGUAACACGUGGCCAAUCUCCCCUUCAGCGGCGGACACCCUCGGGAAACUGAGGCUAAUCCGCCAUACACCUCUCAGACCGGAAUCGCAGAGGUCACAAAACGCCCCGAGCGCUGUAGGAUGAGGCUGCGGCCGAUUAGGUAGACGGUGGGGUAACGGCCCACCGUGCCCAUAAUCGGUACGGGUCGUGAGAGCGAGAACCCGGAGACGGAAUCUGAGACAAGAUUCCGGGCCCUACGGGGCGCAGCAGGCGCGAAACCUUUACACUGCACGCCAGUGCGAUAAGGGGACUCCAAGUGCGAGGGCAUAUCGUCCUCGCUUUCCUGUACUGUAGGGUAGUACACCAACAAGGGCUGGGCAAGACCGGUGCCAGCCGCCGCGGUAAUACCGGCAGCCCGAGUGAUGGCCGAUCUUAUUGGGCCAAAGCGUCCGUAGCU
rnacentral:rRNA from 1 species